UGUUUCCAGGUCUGAUGAAGGCCUCUACAAGUGUCUCAUCAGCAGUGUUGGAGAGUCUCCACCCAGCUGGGUCUCUGUCACAGGUGAGGAGGUUACCUUUGAUUUCAGGAGUUCAUUCAUCCAGAUAUUCACCUGACAGCUGAUUCUCUCUACAGAAAAACCUACAACUACAGACCCACCAACCUCAGACCAUCUCCCCCUUGUGAUCAGACUGGUCUGCCACCUGGUGGUGUUCUGUCCGUACUGCAUCUCCACUUUCAUCAUGGUGUGUUUAUAUCGAGGCAGGACCACAGGAAAUGGCCUACCUGUCGCCAUGGUGAUGACCUCGCCCACCCAGGCUGAGGAGGGAUUGGAUGAUGAAUAUGAGAAUAUGAGAAUGACAUCACCGCUGUCACCAGAGAGCAUCACUUCUGAACUGAUCAGAAAAGAAGCUGAAAUCUCCGUAGAUCAGAAACAGUUCCCCCGGCCGUCUUGAUAUAAUUAUGAUUUAAACAUAUUCAAUAUGAAAUCAUUGCUCCUUUACUGCCAGCCACAGCUAUCUCUGUAAUCCUGAAUAUUUUAUAUUAUAACAAUAAAGCUUAUUUUCUGUAGUUUUUCAUGAAA